GCACAUUUUGAGUAGGAUCAACACCACAAGGGUCGUGGUCAAGGAAGCACAUCUUAGGAGUCAUCUUUGGGCGUGGCCUGUACAGGAAACUUGAAUCUGCAUUUUCCCCAUUACAAGAACUCAGUAGCCUUUGGCUUUCCUCCCUGCUCAGACACCAUCCAGAGUAGAGCUUCCAGCUUCUUCACUGCCCAGCCAUGACCUUGAUGAUCAUUCUACUGCUGGGAACACCCUUCACGCUGAGGAGAACCGGAGCUCAGUCUGUGACCCAGCUUGACGGCCACACCACUGUCUCUGAAGGCGCUGCCCUGGAGCUGAGGUGCAACUAUACCUAUAGUGGAACACCUUAUCUCUUUUGGUACGUCCAAUACCCUGGCCAAAGCCUUCAGUUUCUCCUCAAGUACAUGUCAGGGGCACCCUUGGUUAAAGGCCCCAAAGGCUUUGAGGCUGAAUUUAAGAAGAGUGAAACCUCCUUCCACCUGCGGAAGCUGUCAGCCCAGUGGAGUGACACAGCCCAGUACUUCUGUGCUCUGAGCGACACAGUGCCUGGGACUGCAGGGGAAGCUGAACACAAACCUCCUGAGACAAACGUGGCAACUCACCUCAUCUGUUUUCAGCAAGGCCUCAUUUGAUGAAAGCAAGUGGGGCGGCGGAGUGGAGCCACUGAGAGUGCUUGGCUUCUGAGAAGCAGCAGACACUUCAGCAUAUUCCUUCCUCUGCUACUGGGUCAUGUCAGACAAGGUCUAGAACAGACAGCCUUGGAUAUUCUUGUA